UUUUCUUCUGCAUCCUGCCUCUUAAAAAGCAGCAGACAAAUCUAUUAUUUCUUGGUUAAUUACAUGUGCUCUGAGAGACAGCCCCUUUUUUACCUGCCCAAUAAGUACAAGCUCCUAGAGUGGACAGACUGUUUCUAGAUUCAAAUAUGUUAUGGUCUAAGGCUGCUAAUUUUGUUACAGAGGACUGGUAUUUUUCCAUAUACUUACUAUAGCUUUUUUAAUGCACACUUUUUCCACCAUUUCAACACUCAGCAAACUAGUAUAGCAUAUGUGGACCAAAACUCAUUACCCUGUGACAGAAGUGUCUUAGAUUAAGGUAAAUACAGUUUAAUUCUAUUCUGAGAAGCAAAUACUGCAACAAAAAGAGGGUCUGUCCCACGGGCUGUAGAACUAAUGAAGCCUGGCCCUUGCCUAUGCUAACACUGUAGUAAUUCCAUUCCAAGGUCAGCCAAGAAAUGGCAGUGUGUGAUUGAUUCAGAGGUCUGGGUGUUAUGAUAUACCAGCAGCUCGUUACUGCCAGAAGAGCAAGGAGAUAAAAGACCCAUGUUCUGCUUGUCAUUUGUCCUAAUGAAUCAUUAAUCUGAGCCUCUCUGUCCCUCUACAGAUUUUUUUAAGUUUAAAGGAUUAGAUACUUUAAGUUUUCACUUUUCUUUGAAGCGGUGCACUGGGCUCCAAAUAUGGUGAAAAUGACUGAUAGACUCGAAAGAAAAGAGGGAAGAAUAGAUAAUGUGAGUGACCAACAUCCAUUUCAUUAGGAAGUGAGAUGAAAAACAUUAACAUUGCUAUUUUUUAGCUAGUGUAGUGCUGCUGUAUUUUUCCUAAUUAUGGUAAAAAUAUGACCUGUCUUUAUAUAUUUUUCCAUGGUAGUGCCUAGUGACUGGACCAGAGGCAGUGAGCACAGACUGAAACUCAAGCUGUGCUCUCUGAACGUCAGGAAACCUCUUUUUCUGUGAGGGUGACUGGGCACAGGCACAGAUUGCCCAAAGAGUUUGUUGAUUCUCCCCCACUGGAGAUUUGCAAAAGCCAUCUGGACACAGUCACAGGGAGCCAGCUCCCAGUGGCUCUGCUGCUGCAGGGGGUUAGACCACAGGAACUCCAGAGGUGCCUCCCAAGCUCAGUCAUUCUGUGAUUAGUGCCAGAAGGAUCUAGCUGGUUUUGCUAGACCCAUUAAAGUUUGAAGCAACAGUUUUUGCAGAGAGGGAAAUAAAGGAAGAAUGAGGGGUAAGGAGCAUAAAUUUGCUAAUUUGGGCAAAUUAACCCGGAUUGACUCAAUAGGAAUUUCAAAGGUGAGAGAGCUGCAGGGAAGUUUAUAUAAAUAUCAAUGUGGGUAAAACCAUAAGUGGACACUAUUACAGUCAAGUUCCCAAGAAACAUGCCAGCCCUUGUGCACUCUGAAAAUUUUGUAAAGUUCCUUAUCAAAUAAUGUGUUUUCCUGAAGAAAAGCUUCAUUUCUGGAAGCGGAUGAUAACUAAAGGACACUGCUUGAUCUUGUGAGAAUCAAAACACUAAUAAGGAAAAUUCAUGUGAUUUCUUUGUAUAGCAAAACCAGUCUCUGACCCUUACUUGCCUCAAGUGAUGUGCAGGGUAAAAUAUCAACUGCUUGAAUAUUAUGUGUUCUGAAUUAAUCUCUUGUUAAUAGUAUAACAGGGGAAAAAAAUAACAACUUUGUCAUGGAUCUGUGGUGCCAUCUGGAAUGUAAAUGCAGAAUGCUGCUAUUGAAGAGUUGGAUGGAUGAGGAGGUGAAACACCACAUCCUGUUUCUGAUCUCAAACAUUUUACAAAAUCUUAUUUCUCUGAUGUAGUGCUGCUAACUCCAUCAGUGUGAAGUUACUGAAAUUGACAUGGAUUGCAAAGGUGUUACCUUUUCAAAGACAACUUUUCAGGAGAAGAGGAUGCAAGAGAAGUGCUUUGGAGAAACCCCUAAGUAACAUGUUGUUUUUUUUGAUAGCCAAACCUGUGUCAAAUCCAGGACACUCUAAUGAAUCUUGGUGAAAGGAUGAAGACUGUCCCCUCACAAUCAGGGACGUGGACAAGGCAGAGGUGUUUAAUGCUUUCUUUGCCUCUACUUUCAACACCACUUUUGUACUAAGGGGACCCCACUGCCUGGAGCUGGAGAACCAUGGCUAUGAGAAUGAUCAGCUCCCAGAUCACUGGGACUGAAAUGUCCAGCACUCAGCUGAAUAAACAUCAUGUGAUGGGAAUAUCGCUUCCAUUUUAUAAAAUGAAGAAUUAUUUUAAGUAGUGGAACACUGCAGAAGACUGAAGAAUAAUACUCCUAGAAAAAUCCAUAUUUUUCAACUGGUUUCCCGCACAAAUUCAUAUUUCCAGAGUGGGACAGGAGAGAAAUCACGUUUGAAGAGUAUUGCUUGUUCUGGCUGCUCAUAAAGUCAAAAUAGAUACCAGAUUUUAAAACUCCUACCACUAGCACCCUCAAAGAAGUUGCUGGUGGAAGAAAGCCAUAAACCCAUAAAUUCAUACCCUGUAGGAAGCCAGUUGUUGCAUACAUCCAGACCAUGUUGAGUCCAAAAAAUCCCAACGCCAUUCCUGAAAAAGCCAGAAGUCCUCCAGUGAUCACAACUGUCCGAUGGGUGUAUUGUACACACAGUGAACUGGCAACAGGGGCUGGAUCAGCAUAAAAAUUGGAGAAAGAAAAAUACAUUAGGAACAUUAAUCUGAUCAACAUGGCCAGAUAAAUAAAACAUUUUGAGGAGGACUCCCCUUACAAUGCUUGACACAAACAGCCUUUAUUCUACUGGAUGGGGUAGGAGGUCAGUCAAAAUUUCAAAAUUGUGUACUUGCUGAUAGAGAAAUUACUUUCCCUGAGGCACAGAUUUGAAAACAUAUUCAACAUAUGUGGACCUUUUUUAAAGGGAAAGAGCAUUUUAGCCUUCCUUGUAGUAUGACAGUUCUGAUUUUCAUGUAAGGAUACGAGUACCAACAUGGCAGAACCUCAUGGACUGUUUUAGAAAAAAGUAGAACUUCAGCCACAGAAUCUAUAAGUUCACCUAUAAAAACUGUACUGCUGAGAAUGUAUUAUUGAUAUGGCUGGCAUGAAAACUUUCUGGAGAAAACUAACUUUUGUUUUCUAGAAUUUUGAAAAAAAAAUCAACCCUUAAUGGAAUUUUAAAGGUUUUCAAAGGACCAAAAACUAGGGUUUAUUUUGUGGUAAUACUUUUUACAGAAAAUUGUCAGCUCAUUUUUUAAAUCUUCAUUUAGUGGUACAGUUUCUCUCAACAGAGUGUAGGGGCUAUUCAACAUAAGGCAAAGGUGCAGGUGGUACAGAUCUGAUGGUGCAGCAGCUGCUUUGGUCUCUAGUCACUCUCUGGAAACACCUGAAAUGUCAGGGAUAUCUUUUCUUAAUUAAGGAUCAGUUUUACUGCCUGGCUGUUCUUUCCAUCAGCAUCGCAGAGUCCGGGUUAAGGCCGUAGGAUUUCUUUAAAUAGCCAUGGCCACUAGGGGGUUCUCAAGUACCACCUGGCAGGAACCAGCUCCCAACAUCUGUAAAAUAUCCCGGGGAGUUCGUGCAUAAAACUCAGUUUGGUUAACGGGGACCAUGCUUCUAAACUGAAAUAAGUAGGAAGACAAUGAUUAAGAGAGAGCAGCCAGCAAGGAACAUUUUAUAAUAGUUUGUAGGGGCAGGUUGUUGUACAUUCACCUGGGUUUAAGAUCAGAAUUAAGAGAAUUUGCUAGCUAGGAUGAGUGAAAUAAACCUGACAGAGUACUAGUUGUUGCAAAAUCUGCAGGAUGUACACUGUCUGACAGCAGAAAGAUGUGUCAGUAGUUAUACAAACCUCAAAUGUCUCAUCAGCUUUUACAGCAAAAAUAUGAUCAUUUUAUAAGCAUGUAAAAAGGGUACUGAAAUUCAGUCAUUCUCUUAAGAUGUAGUUGAUGGGACAUGAUAAGGUAUAUACAGCUGGUGAAUCAUACAAUAUGAUAGAAAAAGAAGAAGAGAAAAGUAGAUACAGGAUAACGUCCAUGAAAGUUCUUGAAGACAAGAUAAAGGUCUGCAGAUGGAGAAGAAAUAUUACCAAAUCUCAAUUUUUAAAUAGUAAGGAAGGAGAAUAAACAAGCAGCAAUUAAACAUGGGGUAGCAAGAGAAAGAAAGAAGCUAGCCACAGAACUGGAAAUGGGUAAAAUAGCUUGACUCCAGAGUCUGAAACAUGUAAAGGCAACACACAGAAAAUGUGCAAGCAAUGGAAAGGAUGACAACCAGAGUGCAAAGAGAAGGGUGCUGGGAGGUGUACAUCAGUACCCGAGAGAAGGCUGGUGAAGGUGAUGGGGAGGAUCCUUGCUGUGGUAAACUGAACAGCCUGUUGCAAGGGCAGACCUUGGGAGUGGAAACACAUGCUCUCCUUCGACACAGGAAACAGACCUGCUGUUGAAAGGAUCCAAAUAGGAAAAAAUAGUAAUUCAGUGAUCAUCCUUCAUACUGAGCCAAGUGACACUCAAGGUUUCCCAGAGAUACACAGUAAGAAAGACUAAGCCAGGCCAGGAAACAUGGCCAAAGAACUGGAAGCUCAGGUGAUUUUCACCAGGAAGUCUUGUGGUCCCUAUAAAUGAAGUAAAGGCAGAAAAAGAUGAGGACAAUUAUGUAUUGAACUGAGAUAUUUAUAAACUACUAUACAGAGGGGGUUUGGAGUAUUUGACCACCAAGCUUUAUUCACUGGAAGAGGAUUAUUUUCAAAGGAUUUCAAAGGACAAAGACCAAUUUCUGCUGAAAAUUAUAGCUGCCUUCCUUGAAGUAGGCUGGCCUCACACUAGGCAAAUAUAUUUUUGCUGGUUUAUACUUGUAAUUAUCGUGUCAUAUGCCUUAUUCCUUGUUACAUUUCUAUGCAAUGUAACUAUAUGCUAUAACAAAACAAAACCUAACUAAAACAGGACUGUUUUUCCCUCCUUUGCUGGCUUUUUCUUCUCAUGAAGUUCAAAUGCCUGAAUUACAAAAUAGUAUCACAGUAUGUCAGUGAUAUGUCUAAUUUGUAAACCAAAUUGAUAAUUACCAUUUAUUAAUUUCUGUGGUCUGUGAAGCAGGUUUUUCAAAUUUUUUUUUUCCAGUUAAUUAUAUCUGUCGCUGCAAAGCAGGCAUCAAGGACAGCAGUUUAUGGAACUGAUAAAAAUCUUUUCAACUCAUUACUUAUUUUAUCUUUUUACUUUAACUUUGGGUUACUCUCCUUUCCCUCUGAAUAUAUAUUUCAAAGAAAGAACAGUUGCUCUUGAUGUUUGGAAACACUGCAGUUCCAAGCAAUAAUACUGAUAGGUGUGGACUGAGUAGGAUGCAUGUAAUUAUACAAUGCAAUGCCUAUGCAAUGAAGAGCCUUCAGAAAUAAAAUUGAUAGCAUUUAUUAUGAAAGAAAAUUUACCUAUUGCAACCAUACACCUCUAUGAGAAUAUGCAGAGCAGACUUAACAAAUUCUGUACAGUUCAAGCCUGCACAUGUUUGGAAUCCUCACAUCAUGUGAAAGAUGAUGCCAUUUACAAGGGCACUAAGGACUCUCUAAACAACCAAGCUGAGUCAAACACAGUAUGUUUCACAUUUUGAUGUGAUGUGGUAUUUGACCUGUUCUCAUAGCUCACUUUGAGCUUGGUAUUUGACUUGGAUAGUUUACUGUCUCUUCCCCUACUCUCUGCUUUGUGUGCUCAUGUCUUUAUUGAGCUCAAGUCUUCUGGUAGAUCAAUAACCUGGAGUCAUACUAAGAGAAAGCGACAGUCACUCUGAGAUCAGUGAACUUGCACAAACUGGUUUAAGAGCUUGAUUCAACAAGCUCUGUGGCUAUCAGAAUUACCUCUAAUGAGUUUAACUCAAAGCCUGUAGCAAAACUUAAUCAUGAGUUUAGGUACAUGGUUUUUUUUCAGGCAAUCAAACUUCUGUGUCUAUGGAGUUUUGUUAUUAAUCCAUUCCAUGUCUGAGGCAGCAAAUUCCAAUUUUCUGAAAAUUUUCUGUAUUUUCUGUAGAAACAGAAGAAGAAAGUAUAGGCCUUAUAUUUCUGGGUUUGGUUUUUUUUUAAGGAAGAUUUCCAAACUUGCUAUAGUAGCUGCUAUUGGUAGUUAAUAUUAAAAUAAAAUGAUAGAGGAGUACUACUACCUACCUCCUAAAUGAAAGACGGCAAUAGUUACUGAUGUGAUCCAGGAAGUGGUGCUUGCAAGUUCAUCAAAGUGCUGCUGGAUUUCAACAAAGAACAGACCAAAAGUCUUGAGGACAGCAACAGUGAGGCCCAUCACCAUGAAGGCUGACACUACCACAACCCAUCCAUAGCCACCAUCUGGUGGAUUGCUGUCCUUAGCCUGCAUCUUUUCUAAUUCUUAGAUCUUCUCUGGGUUUGGGUUGUUUUUUUCUUUUUUUUUUUUUCUGGAGUGGUAGUGAUGGUGAUGAGGUUUUUUAACAGAUCUGCAAAUUGGUAGAAGGCCCAUUGUUAAAGAAAUUAAUUCAAAUAUUCUAUGAACGGCUUACAGAAGUAAUUACCAAGUUAAAAUACAACAUUCAUUACAGUGGUUUGACUGAAAAUAUUACCUGGGGAACAGAUGCCCCAAGAGACAGAAGACCGAAUAAAAAAAUAAAAAUAAAAAUUCAAGUACAAGGUUAAGAAAACAAAAAAAAGCAUGCAGAUGUGAACAAAGAAGAGAAGACAAUGGGAAAAUAUUUCGACAUGAAGAUUUUCAAAGAUAGAAGAAUUUUAGUGUCCCCAACAUUUUAGCAUUUAUAAAUAUUAAUUGUUCUUGCAACACCAAGCAUUUUUGCCAAAAUUAUGCACAAUUAUCCAUCCUUGCAAAGAUACAUUCAUAGGCAAGAAGAUCUUAUUAAACACAAAGUUGAAAAAGCCUAUUUCCCCUUUAAAGUUUUAUGAUAAACAUGCAGUAAUCAUGCAGUGCAUGGAGGACGUGGGAUCCGGCUGGAGGGAGAGAAACACUCAUACAUUUUUCUGGUUUCUUCAUGGACACUAAAUUCUGAAUAGGGGUAUUGUACAAGACGCAGAAGACCAAAAAAGACCUAUCUCAGGAGCAGAAUGGGAACUUGAGAUAGCUGAAGAUGUACCAUACUUAAAAUUAUCUACCCUGUGUGCAGCUGGAAAAAAUGAGCUGUAUGAGGGAAUCCAUACCACUUGAAAUUAUCCAAUACAAAGAAAUACUAGUCCUCUGAUUUGCUCCAUUGAGGUACAUGAUCUCAGAAGGAUCUGAAUCACUGCAGCAGAGUGGUGAAAAGAAGACAUCAGAGCCUUCUAGGGAUCAGAAGCAAAAUCAUUCUACUGUCUUGUGUCUAGACUGACAUGGCACUGAACACAUUUGCACAUCUUAAAAAAUCUUAGAACAGCACAAGAGAGGGAGAGACUGUCUUGUGUUGAGGCCUGUAUGAAUGAAUCAGGUUUUCAUUCCCACAGUUUCUGGGUGACCUUAAGCAAGUUGUUAGAUCUUGCUGUGCCUAUUUUCUCAGUUGUCAAAUGCAGCUAAUACUUUCAAAGGUCAUAAAUUUUGUGAAGUUGGAAGCAUUAAUACUUGUAUUAGUGCUCAGUUUACUGUAAGAAAAUACAGAAAUUAUAUCAAGCUGUAGCCAUGUCUUCUGACAAUGUUCAGAGUAGCAUAGCCCUAAUUUUGUUUGAGGCCUGGAAGAACAUAAAAAGGACACAACACUCAAGCUAAAUGAGCCUGCCUAGGCAGAGUGGUACUGAUAUUUCUGCAUUCUGCAUGGACAUGUCUGGGCAAGGGAUUAUGAUUUGUGCCACAAGACAGAUAGAAGAAAUCCUGCUACUUACCAGGCAACACAGAGACUAAAACAGGCAUGAUAAAAUCUGCAUGACACCACCCAGCACCCUUCACUUUCAUUAGGCAAAUUCUUUCCCAGGAGGAGUAUAAAUUGGGCCUUACUGCUCACAAAACUUAAAUGAACAGUAUGUUUCCUUACAACAAGCACAUCUUUUAUGUCAUAGCUCAGAAUUCAGCCUUCAGUUCCUAUUAAUGAUCACAUGUUACAUGUAACUCCAAAAUUAAAUUACUAUUUCUGUUGCAUUAUUAAUUAAUGAGGUAGUUAUUUUCCACCAACCCUAUGGAUUUGAAAGCAGUGAAGCUACAUACUGUAGGGAAUUGCUGGAAUGCCUGAAGAGGGUAGAAGAAAGUAUAGAUAUUACAAUAAGGGAACAUGUUUCUGACACCAUGCUUUGUUCCUCCUUCGCUUUCAAGACAGUUUUUAGUAAGAUGAUGUAAUUGCCAACACCCUAAGCUGAAAAAAAAACUACAUAGGAUCUCCUUUAGCUCUCAGCUAUUGAGCUAUUGAGCUAUGACAAACAGUAAGGUACUAAUAUCUCCAUUUACUCACUUUGUCCCUGAAGCUAACCUUCCAAAUAAAAAGGAGAAAAAACUUGUAGGGAAACUGCUCCUUCUUUUGUGCCUAACCAUACACAUGAUCCCUCAAAAAUGUAAAGCUGUGCCUGGAAGCAUAAGCAUUCUAUCUAGUAUCCCACUGACUCCUACCUCCAAGAUUUCUCAUGGCAGCUGGAACAGAUGUCCUGUGAGACAGGGACUUAAAUCUGGAAAGCCUGUUCUUGGUGUGUGCAUCAGCAAGAGCAGACAGCUCUGUUAGUGGUGUUAUGCUCAUGGCAAAUUUUGCCAGCAAGAACAUGCAAGCAAGAGUGUAACCUUUAUCUUUGCACCUGGAUAACUACAAAGGCACUUUCUGAGGCACCAGGGCUGUUCCUCUAUUCAUGCUCUACAAGUUCUCCAAGCUAUUUCUGCUUUGAUUCAUGCCAUUGAUUCAGAAAGCUUAUCAGACAAUAAUAAAAAUAAAUUAUAAAAUGCUUAUCUCAUUGCUUGCAUUUUAGGGUGCCACAUAAACUUGUGAAGACAGAUACUUGUUCUACUUGGUUAUCUUGUGCUCCAUGUUCUAAUUUACUUUUCACACAAGUGUAAAUGAGUUGAAUACAUUUGCUGCACAUUGCAAAACAACUUGGUGGUGGAAUCAAGAAAAAACUGUUGUUAGUAUGAAUCCUAAACUUCUUGUUUUAAUGCAAGUCAUACUUAACACUCCUCAAAUAAGUGUAUUCACUCUGAAUGGAGGCUGAGUGGGCUUCUUGUGAGAUGGUGAUACUUUACAGAUAUAGGUUGCCCAGGAUGAUGAAAAAGAGAAAGUUUUAAGUUUUUCCACACUUAGAUAAAGAAAUGUGAUUUGGUAAUGGGUGUUUGGUUUGGGUUUCCAGUACAAAUAUUGUACUAUUACCUUGGAUUUGGACUUAGCAAAAAAAAGAGAAAAGGAAGAAAAACGUACUUAAUAUACAUAGACACAAAGCUACUUUUACCAAAGGCUGAUACCUUGAAAGAGGAACUCUGUAAAACUAAAUACAAAAUACAUCUCAAAUAAAUUAACAACAGAUUAAA